AGCAGAGUCUUCUCUAUAAGUACUUAUUGACUAAGUGAAUGUACUGGACUUAAAAGAAAACAAAUUUAAAACAAACAGGAUCCCUGUUCUCAAGGAGUUUACAUUGGCUGAGCAGAAAGACACCUAGAAAGCAGGUACUAAUGAGUAGGGUGCACUUUGGAUGGCUCUCCAAAAAUUCUACUGUGCAAAAUUCUAACAGAUUGGAUUUGUCUCACAAUUCUUUGAAGAGCUCACUUCAAUGGUUCCCAAAGCUCUGAUUUGUAGUUUGCUCAUCAACUGUGUCUAUGGAUCUCUUGAUGCAAAAGAAGGAAAUUUUUUCAAAGCUCAAAUAAGGCUCUGCAGGUCAUUGUCCAGGAUGGAUUUACUAGCACUAUUCCCAGUGGCAUAAAUUUAUUAGGAUGGUAGUGAGCAGAGUGAUGAUGAAGGGGGAAAGGGGUGGGUGUGUCACGUGAGACUUCCUCAUCCAUGUGCAAUGAACUUGGCUACACAGUCAGUGCUCCCAAAGUUAAUAAUUUCCAUUUGCAUCAUCAGCACUCCAAAGAAUUUGAUGGAUAUCCACAGAUGAGCAUGUGACUUACAGCCUCCUCCAUAGAAAACUCAUUCCAUCAAUAAAAUAUGUGUCCCUUUCACUCUAGGUCUACACAGCCCCCUGCCAUUCUUUUUACAUGCUAUCCUCUCUUACAGCCUUGGAUUCUUUCCUAGUGCUGCUGGAACAAAUUACCACAAACUGGGUGGCUUAAAACAAUAGAAAUGAAUUCUCACAAAGUUCUAGAAACUAGAGGCCUGAAGUCAAGGUGUCAGCAAGGCCAUGCUCCUCUGAGGGCUGUAGGGGAGGACUCCUCCUUUCCUCUUCCAGCUCGUGGGGGCUGCCUGCAAUCCAUGGCAUUCCUUGUUUUGCAGAUGCAUCACUCUGAUCUUUUUCCCUGUGUGUGUCCGCGUCUUCACAUCUCUCUCUGCUUGCAAGGACACCAGUCAUUGGCUUUAGGUAUCACCCCAAUGCAGUAUGAACUCAUCUUUACUUGAUUACACCUGCAAGGACCCCAUUUCUAAGUAAGAUCUUAUCCACAGGUACUAUGGAUUAGUGCUUGGAUGUGUAUUUCUAGGGUAUAUGACACAACCCACCACAAAUCUCAUGCCUCCAAAAUGUAUCUGGAAUCCUCACACUUCUCACUAGCUCCAGUGUGAUCACCCUAUCCUGACCACCAUCUUCUCCCUCUUGGUGACUCCAGGCCUCCAGAUGGGCCUCACUGCAUCCUCUCCUGCCCCCUAUGGUCACUCCCUACCCCGCAGCCAGUGUCAUCUAUUGGAAAUGCAAAUCAUAGUGUUUCUUUCUAGGGAAAACCAAACUGGAACCACCACCACAAAUCCCCUUCCAGUGGCCUCUGGGUGAUCUCAGAAUAACACCAAGUCCUUAUGUGGCCUCUCCUGGUGUCCAUUGCAGCCAGCCACAGUGGUCUCCUUCCCCUCCCUCAAAUGCCUGGAGUUUCCUCCUGUCUCCAGUUACAGGAUUUGCCAUGGCCUCUGCCCAUGAAGUGCUGCAUGACCUUGCAGGACGGGCUUCUUCUUUUGUUCAGGUCCCAUCCCAAAUGUCAUCCUGACAGAUGCCAUCCCUGGUCUCCUGAUCUAUAACAUUUUUCCUGUCCCCCAGUUCCCCACGCUGUUCCUCUUGUCCCACACACAGAUGCCUUUCUGCACGACAUUAUAAUUGCCUGAAUUAUGUUGUUCAUUUAUUUUAAUGAGGUGUGUCUAUCUCUGCAGCCCACCAAAAUGUCAGUCCCAUUAGAGCAGGACUGGUCUCUCCUGGUCCCAUGGUGUCCUCGGUGCCUGCACAGUGUCUAGCACUUACUGGGUGCUCAAAAGUCUCUGUUGAGUGACUGGAUGGAGGGAUGAAGUGACUAUCCAUAAGGUGAUGAUAUUUGGCUAUCUGAUCUAGACUGUGAGAUAUUGAAAUAAGGCAAUUAGAAGAAGAAGAGGUGCUGUUGACAGUGAGCAGAUUGGCCAUUGAGGGAGGAAUCCAAGACUGGUGACACAUGGCAACAUCAGAGCUCAAAUGUGUAGAGUGACCUGGGGACAUUUAGUGUAGGGGCAAAGAAAGUGAGCCCUUCAAUAGCUCAUGCAAACCUGGCUUUUGUGAAGGGACUAUCCCAGGUCUCCUCCACCUGUAAGCGCAAAUGAAGCUACAUGAAGAGCAGGGACUCCAAUCCCUUGCUCUUGUCCUCAUCUGGCUCAUGGUCUCCAUCCAUCCCCACCUGGCCCUAAGCCUUUUUGGUUUCCAUGGGAGCCUCUCUCAUGAAGUGUGUGGUGCUCUCAGUGAGAUCUCAGGCCCUGUGCCAGGGUGCUCCCUCUCGAAGCUGCCCAAAUCACCUGUCCUUGAGGGUCUGCACCCUGCUGGGUCCCCAAAGGCCUUUCCUCUAGCUCCAGUAACCACAGCAAACAUUUCAUGGCCCUUGCUUAUGUGCCAGGCACAAUUCUGAGUCCUUUAUGUAAAUAAAUGCACCUCAUUUCAUCAAUCCAGACACUCUCCCCUACCUCCUACAUUUUAACAUCUCUAAAAUUGGGAUGCAUCCUACAAUGAUAUCAUAGACCCAGUUGAAUAGGAAUGUCAACCCUGCCAACAACCUUCUGAGGAGGGUGCUAUUAUUAUCCUGCCCUCAAGAGAAGGCACAGGGAAUUUAGGGAAUCUCUGUUAUGUACGCUGCUGAGCUGUAAUUCAGCCACAGCUCAGAGCCCAAGCUCUUCAAGGAAGCACUUUAUGCUACCCUGGUCACCUGCACACCAAACCACAUCAUUAUCUGUCUCUCCCUUCUGUCCAUUUCCUUUGUGACCAUGGAACUUAGAGCAUGCACCCUCAAAUAAGCUCUUUUCUCCUUUGUAGCCCAUUUAAAGGCCUUCUUGAAUAUCAACUUAUGUAGUUACACCCUCAGAAGGGUCACCAGGCCAACUAUUCCACAGACUCUGAACCCAGUUUGGGUUUUCCCAGAGACUUUGUUUAUAAGCUAAGUACUUUUAGCUGCAAGAAAAAGAAUCUCUUGACUAUAAUGACUUCACAGGAAGACACUCAUUUUUUCACUUACCCAGAAAUUCAGGAAAGGCCAGGUGGGAAAGGGGGUUCUAUCUGGGAAUAAUUCAGCAGCUUAGAGAUGCUUUCAAGGACUCAGGUGUCUGCUUUCCUUGGGGUAUUAUCAUAGCUCCUGAUCAGGUAGACACAGCUAUGUCCAGAAGAGAAAUUAUCUCUUUCUCAUCUCUUUUUAUUUAGACUCAAAACAAAACAAACUCCCUUCACCCUCAACUUUUCCACAAGUUCCCCAGAAUGUUCCAUUGGUCAAGUUUGAGUCAUGCAUUCAGGCUCUAGCUGCAAGGCAGGCUGAGGAAGCUGGUGCCUGGCCAUAUCAGUCUGGACAAUGGCAGAUGGGCUUCACCAGCAAAGGAGUGGAAAAUUCACUUUCAUAGAACCUUCAUCCUCUGAUAAUUCCACAUCGAUUAAACAUGAUUGUAAGUGAAUAACUUGCUCUUCUAAUUGGCCAAUCAUACCAAAGAAAUCUUGAUGCUCAGGUGCUGAGGAGGACAGGAGGAGAUUGGACAGGAGAGGUCCGUAGGCAACGGGCCCCAUAAAGUCCACCAGAGAAGCCUGGCUCUACAGACCUGGUCCUCCGUGGACUGGGACACGACAAUUGCAAAGGAUCAUCAUCAUGAAGAAUGAAAAGCCAGGAGCUCUUUGGUAGCCAGGAUCAUACACUGGAGAACAGAAGAGAGCUGGGGUUUGGUGGUUACCUCAGCAGCUGUGUGUCCAGGAUGGACUAGGAAUUUCCGGGUGUUCCGUUGAAGGCACUUUCUCAAACUCUCACUGUAUCCACAAAACCAGAGUCCAGCUCAUAUCGAGGAAACUGC
rnacentral:lncRNA from 1 species